GUAUGUGAGGGCGAUCUGGCUGCAAUAUCUGUCACCCCAUUGAUCGCCAGGGUUGAUUCGGCUGAUCUGGCUGGCUAGGUGGGUGUCCCCCUCCUCCCUCACCGAUCCAUGUGCGUCCCUCCCAAAGCUGGGCGCUCCGGUUGAAGAGGACAACCUCCCCCCCAGAGGAGAGGACCGGUCUUCGGUCAAGGGUAUAUGAGUAGCUGCACUGACCUGCUAGAACCUCCAAACAAGCUCUCAAAGGACUUGUAUGCAUGCAUAUAAGCCUAACCAAUGGACACAGACACCAUGGGGGU
rnacentral:snRNA from 1 species